UGCCAGCAGCCGCGGUAAUACGGGAGUGUCAAGCGUUAUCCGGAUUUAUUGGGCAUAAAGAGUGCGUAGGCGGUAUUUUAAGUCAGAUGUUAAAUCCCACAGCUCAACUGUGGUCCGCAUUUGAAACUGGAAUACUAGAGACUAGGAGAGGAAAGUGGAACUCACAGUGUAGCGGUGAAAUGCGUAGAUAUUGUGAGUAACACCAGUGGCGAAGGCGGCUUUCUGGACUAGUUCUGACGCUGAGGCACGAAAGCAUGGGGAGCGAACGGGAUUAGAUA
rnacentral:rRNA from 1 species